rnacentral:rRNA from 1 species
UGCUACGUGAAUUAGAACUGUUUGGAAAGACAGACCAAAGAGGGUGAUAGUCCCGUAUAAGUAAGCGAAGUUAUUGAUAGUGGUAUCCUGAGUAGUGCGGGACACGUGUAAUCCUGUAUGAAUCCACCGGGACCAUCCGGUAAGGCUAAAUACUCCUGAGAGACCGAUAGUGAACUAGUACCGUGAGGGAAAGGUGAAA